rnacentral:rRNA from 1 species
GACAGAGGCCUCGAGCGUUAGGCGGAAUCACUGGGCUUAAAGCGUGUGUAGGCGGAUCGUUAAGUACCUUGUGAAAUCCCACGGCUCAACCGUGGAACGGCUGGGUAUACUGGCGGUCUUGGGCCAUUCAGGGGCGACUGGAACAAGCGGUGGAGCGGUGAAAUGCGUAGAUAUCGGGAGGAACACCAAUGGCGAAGGCAGCUCGCUGGGACGGUACUGACGCUGAGACGCGAAAGCGUGGGGAGCAAACAGG